UGAGCAACCUGCCCCUGACUCUGGGAUAACCCCGGGAAACCGGAGCUAAUACCGGAUACGACACGCGAAGGCAUCUUCUGCGUGUAGAAAGAUUUAUCGGUCAGGGAUGGGCUCGCGGCCUAUCAGCUUGUUGGUGGGGUAACGGCCCACCAAGGCGACGACGGGUAGCCGGCCUGAGAGGGCGACCGGCCACACUGGGACUGAGACACGGCCCAGACUCCUACGGGAGGCA
rnacentral:rRNA from 1 species